AUCACAUAAUUUUCUGUGAGGAGGUAAGCAUUCAGUGCAUCAAUAUCGGUACAAAGAAGAGAAACAAGGGAUGCUGUCAAGUCCUGGUUACAACCCUUUUGUUACAAAACAUGGAUACAGCCCUUGCUGCUUUUCCAAGUUGUCUAUAUGGGAUUGAUACUAUUCACUUCUUUAGUUAUUAGCUGCUUACUUCCUUAAUAGAAAGGGGUUAGUAAAACACUUCUACAGUGUAAAACCGAAAGAUAGUUGCAAUAGGAAUAGGAGGUGUCCUCCCCCUUCCCUUUAGAAGAUCCCACAAUGCGAAGUUUCUGUUGAGUCUGUCACAUACUAAACCCAGUUCUUCCUUUUCUCCUAGACUCUGCACCAUCAAGAGCUUAACCUACAGAAUCAGCAGUGUGUCCUGCUUACCUUAAACUUGCUCCUUAUCAUGGAGGAGACAUCAAAGAAGAAUAAAAGAUGUGGAGGCCUCUUUCAAAGCAAGAAGAAUACAGUGGAGGCCAAGCAAGCAACAGCCCUCCUGAACCUCAGGCUGGAUUAAUUUAGUGGAUUGAAACUCCUAGUGAUAGCGUACCAAGCACCAAGAGACAGACCUUGGAGACGUAGAUAUAAUAAGAAGAAAAAGAAAAAAGAAAAGGAGAAGGAGGGAGAAAGGAGGUGUAAAGCCUUUAAGAGGUCAGUAUUUUUCUUCUAUUCUAUAGCACGUAUUUUACUAAACUCUUAAGGUAAAUGCUGUAGAUGAGAGUGGUUUAUCACUAUCAAACAAAAGUUACUGUAAAAACAGUUGGAAAAAGUGAAAGAAAAGGAAUCCACUUUAAAUAUUGAUGCUGCCCCAGAAACACUGACGAUUUUAUUUUGGAUUCAAGUAAUUUGCACAACUAAGAAAUACCACUUUUCCAGGCCUUCCAUACACCUGAAUGUGGCAAAUAUGUCCAGAUUAUUAUAUUUAAUAAUUUGUCUGCUACUACCAUCUUUUUUCUGGAAACAAAGACAGAACUAUUUAUUUUUGCAAGGCUUAUUUUAUAAUCACAUUUUAUAAUUUUAUAAUCAUCUAGGACCAUGUUUUAAUGUAAGUUGUUUGAUUUUUUUUUUAAGCACUUGAUGCAAAAUAAGGGAAGGUUUAAUGAAAUACUUGCAUAUUAUAUAAAACUUCUCAGAGAAGAAGAAAAUGUUAUUUCUAUGUUGAUUACCUGGAUUGAAAUGACUAGCAGCCAGCCAGCCCAUAUGGCAUUUUAGGGGAGGUGUGUAACUGCAUACAUCCAUAUGUGGGCAUAUGUGUGCCCAUGUUUUCUUUAUGCUAGCUAAAAAGAAUAUUUAAAAAUCUUUAAAAGGAAGAAGCAUUGCUAAACAGUGUACUUUAAUUUCUAUACUCUUUUACAUAAAUUUACAUUCACAAGACUAGUUUAAAUUCAUUCCAGAUAGGAUAUUCCACAUUUGUACAAGUGUAAAUGACAUUGAAAAAUGAAGUGGUUAUCUGGUCAGAAGGCUUCAGUGAGACUACUGCCCUAAGAUCAAAUCUUCUGUUUAGUUUGUGAAGGUAUCGACCAUUUCAGUGAACAUGAAAACAGCAGUGUUGCAAACAGCAUCGCAAACCCUGUUGCUCUACUUAAAAUUCAAAAUAGAGUGAUUUUUUUCCCGUGUAGUUCAGAUCUUUUUUCCAAUGUGUAGCUGAAAAUAUUUCUCUAAGUAAAUUGAUUUCCCCCACAUUACAGUGUAUUUGAAAGCGUACAUGCAUUGAUGUAUUUCCUCCUUUAAGAAUGUUAAUUCCACUUUUAAGAAUGCAGCAGGUCCAGCAUUAGUCUGUCUGUUAGAGUUUCUGGUUUAGCAAAAGAACUGUGUUGGGGUUUAUCUAACAGUCCUUGAUCACACAUCAUUUGAUAUAAAAAGGUGAAAGUGGUACUACAGAUACCUGCAAUUUGAUUGAUAAUGUUAAGAAUGUUCAUCUACACACUGUCCACUAGAUUUUGUUUGCUGCAGUAAAGUUACUCAGCCUGUUUCAUACAGGCAACAAAUCUGAAGUUUUGAAACGGAGUGACAAGUACUACAUGCUCCACUUUUAUGCUCCAUAUUGGUUGUAUGUGCAUGUAAAAAGUGUUAAUGAGAUGCAUAAAAUUUAAUAACAACUCAAAUCUCUUGCACUUACACCACUCUGCUGUAACUAGGAUUGAGAAAACAAGCUUUAAACAAAAAGAGCUUUCAUACCCUGCUGCAGGAGUGUGACCAGUCAUGGUAGGUUGCUCCUGGACUCAUAACUACUGAGGGGACUUUUGAAAUGGGCACUAUUUGAACUUCCGAGCAUGGUCUAUAAUCUUGCUUAAUAAUUAUAUCAACUGUGACAGUUUAAUUCACUGUAGGUAUCCAAAACUAUUCCUGAAAUUAAUAAUAGGCAUGCUUUAUAGCUUAUGCAUGUCAAAAGUUAUAAGACUAGUCUCAUCAUGGAAUGUAACUAUUUUAACAUGACUUUUUAAAUAGUCCAACAAUUUAAAACAAUUACAUAACAUUUUUUCCUUCCAAUUUUUAAAACAAAAAAUGUUUCAUUGCAUUU